rnacentral:rRNA from 1 species
UACGUAGGGGGCAAGCGUUGUCCGGAUUUAUUGGGCGUAAAGAGCGUGUAGGCGGCCAAGCAGGUCAGCUGUGAAAACUCGAGGCUCAACCUCGAGACGUCGGUUGAAACCGCUUGGCUAGAGUCCGGAAGAGGAGAGUGGAAUUCCCGGUGUAGCGGUGAAAUGCGCAGAUAUCAGGAGGAACACCGGUGGCGAAGGCGGGUCUCUGGGCCGAUACUGACGCUGAGGAGCGAAAGCGUGGGGAGCAAACAGG